rnacentral:misc_RNA from 1 species
CAAGAAGCCGAAAGGCUACUUAAAACCAUCGCGAACUUAUCCAAGUUGCUUCGGCGGCGCGGCUCCCCUCACGGGGGACCGCAGCCCCCGCCUCUCAGGAGGUAAGGGGCAGCCGCCGGAGGUACGAACUCUGUAUUAUAGUGGUAUCUCUGAGUAUAAAACAAAUAAGUUA